GUCGUAUGGUCUAAUGGUUAUGAUAUCUCGUUCACAUCGCUGAGCAUAUGACCCGAGAUGGUUCUGAGUUCGAUCGUAAGUGCCAACA